AAAGGAGGUGGUUAUUAUUAUUUGUAACUCAAAACAAAAUAUAUUUUUUAAUUUUUUUUUUAUUUUCAGAUUAUUAUGUACUUCAGUCGUAUCAAAGUGCUUCAUCGUUUAAAACAGGAAUAAAGCACAAUUAUUUCAAAUGAUGUUUCGCCUCUCACAAAUGGGAAUGGCAAGAGUAAAACAACGCUGUCGCCGUCGAAUGCUAUCAACCAGACUGCAAAUGGAAUUGUAUACAAUAAAGAGUAACAUAAACAACACUGAAACGGAAAAGCACCCACGGGAGCAGCAGUAUCAGGAAGAGGAGAAUUCUAUGAUGAUCCUAAUCGGAGCAAAUCUUCAUUCGAAAAGGUUCCUCUACACACAGCCUUCUAGUAUAUUUUGGCUUUUACCUGCUUAUGAUAUUGGGCUACAUCAAUCAAUUUAUGUGUGCCCCAAAAGUAGCUAAAGAAAAUAAUCGAGAGGGCUAUGUUACGCUAUACGAUACCUUCGAGAAUUCUAUUCACGGUAUGUCUAUCGGAAGGUCCGAGAUUGCUGGGAUUCCCUAAUUUGCAGUGUCCCUGGGGGAGAGGUAACUCUCAAAGAUCGCAUAACCAAGGAUUACGCAGAACAGACGGCUAGGCUUUAGGCAGUCCCCGUUGUGAAGUGUGUUGGAGUAUUCUAUUGUCCGAAGUUAUUGCAUUGAUGAAGAAAUACAAACCUUAUUUGUAUUUGUAUGAGACGCAUAGUGUGGUAGCGAUGAGAGCAAAUGGUCGCGGUAUUGUCGACUAUUAUGGCGCCGAUCCGAAAGAUGUUGAUAUUCUAAUGGGAAUAUUUAAAAAGAGCUUUGGCAGUGCUGGUGGUUAUAUUGCUGGAACAAAGAAACUAAUUGAUUGAAACAACUAGCUCGGAAUACACCAUAUUUCCGACGACGAUUGGCCCAAUUAGGUGCCAUUACCUAUGACCAUGAAGAUUCUUCUGUUGUACCGAUGCUGGUCUAUCUUUUAUCCAAAAUUGGAGCUGUAGGUCGUACACAAACUUUCCGUAAGGUAGCGGUUGUUGGAGUUGGGUUUCCUGCCACUCCAAUUAUGGAAGGACGUACAUAUACGCUUAAUAGCAGUUUGAUUAUGCCUUACAAGUGAUUGAUAAAACAAGUGAUUCAGUAAUCAGUUUGCCUAGAGUAUUCAUGUAAAGUAAGAGAUUCUAAUCCGAUUAUUUAUUAAGUUAAAAGGAAUAAAUAAAUAAUAAUAAAUAAAUGAAUAAGGUCAUUUUAUAAUUCUUUUAAUACGAAUUUCAUUUGUUUGAUGUAU